GACGAACGCUGGCGGCGUGCUUAACACAUGCAAGUCGAACGGAAAGGCCCUGCUUUUGUGGGGUGCUCGAGUGGCGAACGGGUGAGUAUCACGUGAGUAACCUGCCCUUGACUUUGGGAUAACUUCAGGAAACUGGGGCUAAUACCGGAUAGGAGCUCCUGCUGCAUGGUGGGGGUUGGAAAGUUUCGGCGGUUGGGGAUGGACUCGCGGCUUAUCAGCUUGUUGGUGGGGUAGUGGCUUACCAAGGCUUUGACGGGUAGCCGGCCUGAGAGGGUGACCGGCCACAUUGGGACUGAGAUACGGCCCAGACUCCUACGGGAGGCAGCAGUGGGGAAUAUUGCACAAUGGGCGGAAGCCUGAUGCAGCAACGCCGCGUGCGGGAUGACGGCCUUCGGGUUGUAAACCGCUUUCGCCUGUGACGAAGCGUGAGUGACGGUAAUGGGUAAAGAAGCACCGGCUAACUACGUGCCAGCAGCCGCGGUGAUACGUAGGGUGCGAGCGUUGUCCGGAUUUAUUGGGCGUAAAGGGCUCGUAGGUGGUUGAUCGCGUCGGAAGUGUAAUCUUGGGGCUUAACCCUGAGCGUGCUUUCGAUACGGGUUGACUUGAGGAAGGUAGGGGAGAAUGGAAUUCCUGGUGGAGCGGUGGAAUGCGCAGAUACCAGGAGGAACACCAGUGGCGAAGGCGGUUCUCUGGGCCUUUCCUGACGCUGAGGAGCGAAAGCGUGGGGAGCGAACAGGCUUAGAUACCCUGGUAGUCCACGCUGUAAACGGUGGGUACUAGGUGUGGGGUCCAUUCCACGGGUUCCGUGCCGUAGCUAACGCUUUAAGUACCCCGCCUGGGGAGUACGGCCGCAAGGCUAAAACUCAAAGGAAUUGACGGGGCCCCGCACAAGCGGCGGAGCAUGCGGAUUAAUUCGAUGCAACGCGUAGAACCUUACCUGGGUUUGGCAUGGAUCGGGAGCGCUCAGAGAUGGGUGUGCCUCUUUUGGGGUCGGUUCACAGGUGGUGCAUGGCUGUCGUCAGCUCGUGUCGUGAGAUGUUGGGUUAAGUCCCGCAACGAGCGCAACCCUUGUUCACUGUUGCCAGCACGUUAUGGUGGGGACUCAGUGGAGACCGCCGGGGUCAACUCGGAGGAAGGUGGGGAUGACGUCAAGUCAUCAUGCCCCUUAUGUCCAGGGCUUCACGCAUGCUACAAUGGCUGGUACAGAGAGUGGCGAGCCUGUGAGGGUGAGCGAAUCUCGGAAAGCCGGUCUCAGUUCGGAUUGGGGUCUGCAACUCGACCUCAUGAAGUCGGAGUCGCUAGUAAUCGCAGAUCAGCAACGCUGCGGUGAAUACGUUCCCGGG
rnacentral:rRNA from 1 species